rnacentral:tRNA from 1 species
GCGUUCUUAGUGUAGCGGUUAUCAUCCAAGCCUUCCAUUCGAGAAAUCGAGACAGCUUGGGACAGGGGUUCGACUCCCCUAGGACGCA